GUGCUGGCUUUGGCAGCACAUAUACUAAAAUAGGAAUGAUACAGAGAAGAUUAGCAUGGCCCCUGCACAACGAUGACAUGCAAAUACAGUUUCUCUCUCUUU